GAGGAGCUAGCUUGAGGGAGCUUGGAGCUCAACCCCUUUCUCUCUUUUCCACCUUUGCAAGGCUUGGAGCUUGCUUGUAGAGCUUAGUGGUGGACCAAACUUCAACCCUAGGGCAUUUUGAGCUUGGAUUGAAGCUUCCAAAGGGUUAGUAUCAUGUUUCCCUCCUCUAGAUUCUUGUUUUUGUGAUUUUUGGGAGAUGAAACCCUAGAAAUGAGAUUUAGGGUUUAUUUUGGGCAUUUUUGAUCUAGGGCUUUUGGACCCAAAUUGAUUGGUUUAGAACCUUCCUAGGGCUUGGAUUGGAAGGGUUCUAGCUCUCUUUUGGAGCUUUGGAAGAGAUUUCUACUCUUGAGGUGAGUUUUGGCCCUUUUUGCUUCUAGGUUAAUGUUUGAUCUUAUGGUUGGUCGUAAUGCCCUCGUAUCUCUUCGCUGAUUACUUUUAGGGUAUUUUGAGACUCGGGGACAACUUUGUUCGGCGAAACGAGGCCCUACGCGACGGUUCGGUGGGUUUGACCUAGCCACACAAUGAGAAAUUCUCAUUUGUGCUUAAUUAAGUGUUGUUAAAUGAAAAAGCAUGCAUAUUCUUGUUAUAUGUAUUUAUUGUGAAUUUUAGAAUGCUUAAAAGGCCUAUGUUAUAUAUGAUGAAAUUUUGGACCUCUAUGUAGUAGAGAGUAGCUUAUUAGGCCAUAGUUGCAUUUAGCAUUCUAUAUGAGACGUGGUAUCAUGCUUCUAUAGUAUAAAUGAGUUCGGAUUCAUGCAUUUAAACCUAAGUUACUUGUGACAUGAAAAUUGACAAGAUUGUCAUUUAGAAGCUAUGUGAAUUAGAGAGCUAAUGUCAUCAAGCGGCAUUGAGCUCGGGACAUGUGUGAACCUAGUGGAUAGGGCCAUUGAGGGAUUUGGAAAACAUGUUGAACAUUAAAUUGCCUAAGUGUCAUUAAGGGGCACUAGGCGUAGCAAAUGUUGAAACUUCACAUUGUGACUUGAACUAGAUCUUCGGGAUGCUAGUGACUAUACCAUGUUAGAGACAUGAGGAUUGGAUACUUGAGACUUGGACUUUGCUUGCUUGCCAUUUGUGCUCAUUCGCACAUGCUUGUGAGGGUCGCUCCCUACAAGCCGGCACUCCGGAGUUAGCCUAUGCGACUUAUGUUCGCUCGUGCGGUAUUGAGAAGCCUACGGGGUCGAGUGGGACAGACACAUUCCAAGAGUAGGGAUGUUGGGCUACCACAGGCACUUAGGCGGCACAAGCUGGACUACCUUUGGUAGGUCCUUAAUUGGAAAUGAAAAUCGACACGGUGUUGUAUAUGAACAAUCACUACUAGAUAGGAUUAGUAGUUGGAUCACUUGGAUACGCUCAUGAUAUAGCAUUGGUACAUUUAGUAUACUUGCUGGCUUCAUUAUUGCAUCGUAGUAUACUUGGUUGUUUGGAUAGAGUUUACCCUUAUGCAUUGACAUAUUGCAUCGUGAGAUUUACUUGUUGAGACAUAUUAGUAUGCAGUGGACAUAUUACCUUGUGAUAGCGUAGAUGUACAUCACAUAGCAUCUGCUUACUUGAGACAUAUGGGUUAGCACUUCAUUUAUGCUUUCUUACCGUGUUACUAUUAUCUUUAUUGCUAAUAAUAUCUUGUACUUACCCUUGUUUUUGGGGCCUAGUGGAGCAGGAGCUGAUGUCAGUAAUUGCCCACUGGGAACUAUAAAUUAUAGUUCUCACGCCCUCUUUUUCUGGAUGUUUUUCAGAGCCUUCCACUCAGGGUUAGGCCAGGGAUCGUGGGAAGGGCGUUGCUUCGAGCUAGCUUCCUUUGAGGACGAGUUGCUAGGUGGUCCACCUCUCGAUUUAUAUUUCUUUUUGCGAGAGGUUGAGGAGUUUACCAGUGUACUAGAGACCACCAUUUUUGUACUAGAAACAAAUAUUGUAUAACUUAUGUUUACUCUUAUGUAUUAGUCAUGUUCUAUUACUUUUAGUAUAGAUGUUAGAACUUUACUCGUUCUGAUAUCAUUAGUUGCCUGUUAUUUCACUUCUUUUAUUUGUUCCAUCUCUUACUUUUACUUCCGCUUUUCUUGUAAACGCCUUAUAUGUGUAGACAUAUGGCGGGUCUGGGCACGCUACCGGGAGGGCCUCCGCCGGUCCCGGGGCGNCGCCCACCUCCUUGCCGACCCUUGCGCCGCUGAGGCCUUCGUGCCGAGGCCACCCGCUCCGAGGCCGCUUGCUCCUCGACUCGAAGCCGCGCCACCCGCGGCCGAUCUGCCUGAAGCCCCGCCACCCGCGGCCGAUACUUUCGAAGCCGCGCCACCCGCGGCAGGUCCGCCCGAAGCCACGCAGAGGCUCCGUCGAAGUCGCCGUCACCCGAAGCCGCGCCACCCGCGGCAGGUCCUCUCGAAGCCGCGCCACCCGCGGCCGAUUCACCAGAAGCCGCGCCACCAGUGGCCGGUCCUCUCGAAGCCGCGCCACCCGCGGCCGAUUCACCCGAAGCCGCGCCACCCGUGGUCGGUCCUCUCGAAGCCGCGCCACCCGCAGCCGAUCCGCCCGAAGCCGCUCCACCCGCGACCAAUUCGUCGAUGCGCAUGCCGAGCCGCCGCCCAUGACUCUGUUCGUGAUCUCGGCCGAUCCGUCGACGCCCGCGCGCCGUCGUCGACUUUGAUGGCUCGAACCCGAGGAGUUCCCUCUGAUGCCGCGUCGCUCCACCUCGAAGGCCGCAGCCCCGUUGAUGCCGCGCCGCUGUCGUGGCCCUUCACCGCUGCAGAGCGCCGCCGUCACGGCCCUCCUCCGUCGCGGUCUCAGAUCCGCGGCUCCACUAUCGGGUCACAGCCCCAGCGGAGCUCCGGCAUCAGCAAAGCCCGCCAUCUGCUCGACGGCGAUCCUGAGAGAGAGAGCGGUGCUCUCCUCUCAAACGGGUUCCGCCCGCCAAGUGCUUGAUGUGCCCGGAGUCCGCCCACCAACCGCUCGACGGCGAUCCUGAGAGAGAGAGCGGUGCUCUCCUCUCAAACGGGUUCCGCCCGCCAAGUGCUCGAUGUGCCCGGAGUCUGCCCACCAACCGCUCGACGGCGAAUCUGAGAGAGAGAGCGGUGCUCUCUUCUCAAACAACGGCAAAUUCGAGAGAGAGAGAGAGAGAGAGCAGUGCUCUCCUCUCAAAUGAAGUUAGAUCCGCUCGCCAAGUGCCCGACGGCGAAAUUGAGAGAGAGAGCAAUGCUCUCCUCUCAAAUGAAGUCAAGUCCGCCAACCGCUCCGACGACGAAUCCAAGAGAGAGAGCGGUGCUCUCCUCUUAAACAAAGUUCGCCCGCUAAUUGCUCGGUGGCGAAUCAUAAAGAGAGCGAUGCUCUCAUUUACCGACCAAUCAUUCGACGAAAUACUUCGUCGUCGACGUGCUAAUCAAACCGCUCGAUGGAAUGCCGAGAUGAACAUCGAUGGUGCUUUUUGCAAAAUAUCACCAAAAAGAGAGAUCACUCUAAAAGAGAGAGAGAGCUUUGACAAAAUCACAUUAGACACUUCAAAUUAAAUUGAAAUUUAAUUUGUUAUUUGAUCAAAAUAAAACCUCGAGACAUGAAUCUAGGCCCGAUCAUAUGGACCUAAGUCAUUGAACCUCAACCCAUCCGUAUUAAAUCAACACUUUGACUCUAAACCCAUUUAACCCAAUCUAAUCUAAACCCAUUAACCUUAACCUCAUCUAAAAUCCAUUAACUGUUACCCAUAACCCAAUCCUAUAACCCAAUCCAAUUAAACCUUAGCCCAAUUCUAAACCCAUAACCUAUAACCCAAUCCAAUUAAAUCUAGGCCUAGUCCAAAGCCCAGAGCCCAUUUACAAAUGGCCCCGGUCCAAAACCCAUUCGGGCCCACUAUCUAAGCCCAUUAUCCAAAACUCAUUAAAACCAUUAACCCAUAAACCCAUAUACAUAAACCUAUAUACAUUUACCCAUGAACCCAUACACAUUUAACCCAUAUCCAAGCCCAUAACCUUAACCAAGUCCAUGAACUUUGAACCAAAACCAUGGACCAAACCAUACACCAAAUCCUGUGGACCAUACCAUACACCAAAUCCACGAACUAUGAAUCAAGUUCAUGAAUCAAAUCAAGUUCAUGAGCCAUGGAUCAUAAACCACAAACCAUACACCAAGUUCAUGAACCAUAAACCCAUGAACCAUAAGUCCAUGAACCAUAAACCCAUGAACCAUAAGUCCAUGAACCAUAAACCCAUGAACCAUAAGUUCAUGAACCAUAAACCCAUGAACCAUAUCUAAGUUCAUGAACCAUAAUCCCAUAUACCCAAUACCAUAAACCUUGUGAACCAAACCCAAUCAAUCGACCGAAACGUCGUUAAACUAAUCCACCAAAUCAAUCGACCGAAACGUCGUUAAACUAAACCUAAAUCCGAUAUCGACCGAAAUGUCGUUAAACUAAACUCAAGUUCAAUUUUCACGAACAUCCCAAUUCCCAAAAUAUUCGAUUCUCUAGCAUAUAAAACUAGAGUCAAAUCACAAUUAUGUUCAAACUUGAUCAAAUUCUAAACCUAUAUUUAGAAUUGAUCAAACCAUCUGAUCAAAUUAAUUUGUUGGAUUCCAAUACAUACAUUUGGAGUUUAAUUUAAAUCAAAUCUGACUAAUCCUAAUACAUAUAAUUAGGAUUUAGUUAAUAUUUCACCUUGAGAUGAACCAAAAUCAAAUGUGACUAAGCUCUAAUACAUAAACUUAGAGACUAAUUGUAUCAGACUCUAAAAUAUAAAAUUAGAGUCUAAUUCAAGAUAUUUGGGGCUAAUCCUAAUACAUAUAUUUAGGAUGAAAGCUCAAAUCAAACUCUAUUGGACUUUAUUACAUAUAUUUUUAAAGUUCAAUUAACCAAAUCAACUUCUAAUACAUAUAAUUAGAGUUUAAUCAAGUUCGAUUAAAUUCCAAUGCAUAUAUAUGGGAUUUAAUCAAUCUUUCAUCUCAUGGUAAACAAAGUUGAGCUCCAAAAUAUAUAGAGCUCAACAAAAUCUGAUCAUCUAUUGGACUUUAUUACAUAUAUUUAAAGUUCAAUUAACCAAAUCAAACUCUAAUACAUAUAAUUAGAGUUUAAUCUGAAUUAAAUCUGAUUAAAUUCCAAUACAUAUAUAUAUGGAAUUUAAUCAAUCUUUCAUCUUAGGGUGAAUAGUGUUGAGCUCCACAACAUAUAGAGUCCAACAAAAUUAAUUUGACCAUAUAUUGGGUAUCUUAGAAUAUAUAACUAAGAUACAAUUGAAAAAUACAUUUUCUUUACGCUCUAUUCAUGUACACUGAGGGUAUGCCCUUGGUUAAAGCCAUGUAAUUGAGCAAUAAAUUGUAAAUUUUCUUUUGUCCAAUUCUAUUUUAUCUUCAGCAUUUCAGAGGUCUCUUAAUCGAAGGUGCCCUAAUAUUCUAUAGGGGUAAUUAACAAUAGACGCUUGCGUUUAUUGGAAGCCAUGGAUCCGCAAUACCUGAUAACCAUACAUACACAUAUUUUAAUCUACAUCAUGAAUACUACCCCACGGGAGAACCAAAAGAUAAAAAUUUCCCGUGCGAGGUGCGUCAUUCGUGGUGGCAGACAAAAUGGCACGCCCGGUGGGACUCGGCUUCUCCUUCCAUCUUUGAGACCGAUGAUAUGCUAAUAGAAUUGGACGGUAAAUAUUUAAUCUACACUCGUUAUUCCCCUGCAGGAGAAAUGGCACCUAAGAACACUGCUGCGGGCUCGAUGACGAUCAAGGCUGGUCAGGUUUCCCUGCCAGCAUCCAUCCUCACUUUCGGAGCUGCCGGUGCUACAAUCCAAUUCGGCACCAUCCCGGAAGAGGCUAGGGCUGCUGCUAUGGCCCCUUUCACUGCUGCUACCAGCACCGACAUCGUUAAGACUGUGGUUCCCCGCCUUCUCUCUCGCGGAAGGCGCCCGAAUGUCGUCAUCCCCAACCCUCCUCGCGUUCCAAUGAAGGAGAGGAUGACUCUUAACGCCUCUCGUGUCCCUGUGAGGGAGAGGAUCACGCCUAUCAGUGCUUCAAAGAGAAUGGAGCUACAAGGUAGGCUAGUGUUCCAAAAUCGAAGUGAGGGAACAUCGCCACUUGAUAUGGCGCCUAAAGCGUCAGUCUUCAAUAGGUUGACGAUCCCCAAGAAUGCUGUGUCUCCUAUGACAAAGGCAUUCAAAAGAAAUCUUCGCCGUACUUUGAAGCGGCAAGAGAUGAACAAGGAACAGAAGUCUCGACAAACCCAACUUACUAGGUUUGUCGCUGGACCUGAUGUUUUGGUCCAUAACCGAUAUGCACCCCUGAGGUUUGUGAGGAAAAACUCACCUACGACCGUUCUGUGCCCAGAGUCAGAAAUGGCCCACUUAAAGCCUUCCCCUGCAUGUUCUCGUUCGAGAAACAAUAACGAGAACCCUGUCUGCAAGCGGAUAUAUAAAGCCUUUAAGGCUGCAAAGGGAAGGAUAAACAUAGAGAAGAAGAUUGAGAAGCCAAAAUGGCAGCGAAGGUCGACGCUAUCCCAUGAAGAGAGAAAAACAGAAUGGAAGCCCAAAACUCUUACUCAAAUCAAAGAAGAAAAAUCUAAAAAUUUGGAGAUUCAUACUGUGAGAGUUAUAGGGCGUGUGCCCUCAAGUGAGGCUGUUAACGAAGAAGAAACAAUUCAACAAAUGCUUACCAGAGCUGCUGCAAGAAAAGCAGCAGAAGAGAAGGCGAGAGCUAAAGAAACAAGCUCUUUGCAAAACGCUGGGAAUAAAGAUGACUUACCUGGUGAUCUAUCUGAUCCACGGGAGGAAGAAGAGGUUGUAUUCUUCCCUAGGGAUCCAAAGGAUGCUAUAAUCGCAUCCUUGAAAAAGAAAGUUGAUGAAAAAGAUAGAGAUAUUAUAAAUCUCUAUAAGAAAAUAGAGGAGGUUAUGGGUUUGAUGAUGAAUGUACAGAAACAGUUGGAGAAUCAACGGCAUCAAACCAAGACUCCAGCUCGGACAGAAGCACCCGCACCCCAAGUCAUUAAUGAACAGGCUAAAACAACUGUUCCUAAAGAGACUACCUCUUUGACUAAAGAAGAGAUUCAUGAUUUGAUCACUUCUUAAGUUAAAGAAACGGUAGCGGGGGCAAACCCAAAACCAAAAGGGAAAGGACAUCCUUAUCUAUCAGAAUAUGAUAAUAUACCUUUUCCAGACGGGUAUCAAGUCCCUAAGUUCAAAAUGUUCUAUGGUGUUGGUAACCCUGAUCAGCACCUAGCACAUUUUAAGGCCAUGUGUGGAAAUACCGGGAGUAACGGGCCUCUACUCUUACGACAAUUUCCACAAAGCUUAUCGGGUAUAGCCUUUGAAUGGUACUACUCCCUCGAGGAUGAGUCCAUUAAAACUUGGCCCGACAUGGAAGAAGCUUUCAAAGCAAAAUUCGCCACUGCUAGCGAUAAGAUUACUAUCGCUGAUCUGGUAGCCACCAGACGAAGGAAAGAUGAAACGAUGUUAGAUUACAUCACACGGUGGCGAAACUUAAGUAUAAGGUGUGAACAACCUCUAGAUCAGACCCAGGCCGUUGGUCUUGUUAUGGGCAACAUUGAUAAUUGGAUGGCCCCAUUUCUUUGCACAUCUAGUUGUUCCACCUUUCAUGAAUUAAUAUCAAACGUCUCUAGGUUGGAGAGAACUGAUCCCCAAGUUUAAUAAAUGUACAAAAGACAAAAAGGGAUGAUAAUAAAAGAGUUGAGGCAAAGAUGGCACAGGCUAGACCGGCCCGCACGAACAUGAUAGAAAAAGGUAAAAGGGCAAUUACCUCUGCAGUUGAACAGACCCCUGUAAAGCCUAUGUUUGGGGGCAAUAAUCCAAAAGCACUUUCUCUGGAAGAGUGAAGAAAUAAAGUGUACCCUUUCAAACGGGAAAAAGUUAAGAAAAUAUUUAACGAUGCUGUUAAAAAUGGUCUUCAACUGCCCGAGCCAAGGAAGCCGGAGGUGUGGAAAAACUGAUAAUCCAAAAUACUGCCCAUAUCAUAGGCUAAUUAGCCAUCCAAUUGAAGAUUGCUGGGUUUUCAAAGACUGGAUUGAAAAACAAUAUAAAACCGACGCAAUUACCCUUUCACAGUCGGUAUUAUCAGAAACGCCAGUCGAACAGACCAAUAUGAUUGGUGUGGGUGCGGAAAAUAUAGAAGGAAUUGAAAAUGCAUUUUCCCCCGAGUUUUGGAAUAUAUUCUUAUCUAAGAAAACUCGAAAAAUGUUAAAAUAUUUAAAAGAGGUUCCAGGGAUAAAGUGGCGAGGCCCUUUAAACCCGGAAGUGCAGUCUGAGGAUAAGCCCAUGCCUUCAGUCAAAAAAUCUAAUACUCCAGCCAAGUCGAGGCGCAGAAUAGCUCGGGCGAAAAAGAAUAAGAAAUUCGUUGAGCCAGCUGAGCCACAGCAUAAAAAACGGCCUAUUGAGGAACAUAUUGACUCAAUGGAAGAAUAUAAACAGGCUGAAAGGGAUCCUCUUCUGAUUCAUGAUUUUAUUUCCAAAGCAAUAGAAGAGGCUAAGAAAAAGAAAAACUCUGAUGAAGGAAAAAUUCCUGUUGAGGAAUGUAAAGAAACAGAAGAGCCUUUUUGGGGAGAGGCUUGCAGAGUUAUCACCACGCGACGCGACGAUGAAGAAACUUUUCCUUCUGGCCGCGUUAGAGAACAAGAAAGGAAUCUCAGAGAAAUUCAUAGCCAAUUGGCUGAGAUAAAAGAAAUGACACGUUGCAGCUUUCACAGGGUAAAUGAUAAUAUAUUGGAUAUGAAAGCAUGCUUGAAUGUAAUGUUCUCUAUGAUGAUUGGGAUCGAAGCCAGAGUGGAACAAUUAAUGAAAAUUACUCCUCUCCCUCAGCAGACUCAGUCACAAAACCACAGAGAACGGGAGAUCGAGCCGUUGCCAAGGCUUACAAAUCGAUCUUCAAAUCAGCAUUCACCCAAUACUUUUCGAAGUGAUAAAGGAAAAACCCCUCUUAUAGAAACUAAAAAUAUGGGUGGGGAAUGUCCGAGAACGGCACUGACAGAAAGAAGGAAUUCUCAGUAUUCUAACGGCGAAAGUACACCCAUGUAUUGUCCUUUUCAUGAAGUGAAAGGACAUAACCUAGAAAACUGUUACGCUUUUCAACAUAUGAGAAAAUCAAGAAAGCAGUUUUCUCAAAGGACAAAUAUCAAGCAAAAUACCAGAAGCACAAGCCACGAGAAAAAUAAGGACAAGACUAUUCCUUACACACGGGAGUCAUGCCGUGUGAUUACAAUAUCUGAUGACGUGUCAGAUGACGUGUCAGAAAGCCCUGCGCCGACCCUGGGGGCAAAUCAACAGACCUCCACACCAAACGAUGAUACUUAUGUUGAUCCUUUGGAAUUAUAUGACACUUCAACUUAUAAUGAUCCAAUGAAUAAGUUGUAUAGAAUGGAGUGUCGCUUAAUCAGAAUGGAGGGAGAAAUGAGGGGGCUGCACAAUGAUAUUAACUUCAUAAAGAUGAAUAUGAACAGUAUGACUGGCGAUAUAAAGGGCAUAGAUAUUCAAAUGAGAACUAUAAUAGAUAUGCUCAAGACAGAUGCUACUGAAGCAUCAAAAAGAUGUCGGGUUGAGACAUGCCGAGUCAUAACUGUGCAAGUUGAUUCGGAGCAAUUAAAGUCAACAAAAGCCGAAUACGACGCAAAUUUCUAUGAAGCACACAUAAUUGCUCAAGAAAUUAAAAGAAUGUCGGUGAGAGGAAAUGCAGGGUCAUCUUCGCUGAAAAAGAAGAAGAAACCAACUCUAAGCCAGCAGUCAGAGGCUCGCCAGAAUAAUGAACCUCUAAUUAAGGAAGGGAAAAAGAAAGUUAUAUCGACAGAGUUCUGUUCCUAUCACAAUAUAUGGGGGCACACCCUAGAAAAUUGUCGCCAAUGAAAAAAGAUGCAGAAUCUAACUGUUGACAAGGCGAAGCUAAAGGUCGAUCAACCGACGGUUGCCGGGUCCAAAAGUCAACGAUGGAAGAGACAUCUGCCACGAUUUGAGAAACAACAACCCAUUACUCUGGAAGAAUUCAGAAAAGCAUGCUAUGAUGCUUUCGAUGAUAUGAAACCGCGUUGUUGUUGGUGUAGAGCGAGAGGUCAUGCUUAUGAUGUAUGCGUGAAACUUCGAGACCAUAGAAAAAACAAAUCACAGCUCAAAGAGUCGUGUCGAGUAAUAACAAUCUCUGAAGAGCAAUCUGACGACUCUGUAAAUCAAGAGAAUAGGGUCAGGCAAUCUGCUGGUGCACGUGAAGAUGAUGAUACCGCGUGGCUAGCAUACAAUACCCCGAGCAGGGAUUAUGGUGCAAGGAGAAUGGAAUAUCGUCUUCUUGAGAUUGACAAUGAUUUGAGGAGAGUGCAGAUUGAUGUACGCUCUCUAGCAACAAACAUAGAUUGUGUGGCCAUGGCGGUAAAAAGCAUGAAGGAACAAUUGAAAGAGAUCCUCAACCAGUUGAAUACUCUUGAAAAGACUAGAGUCGAAACAUGCCAAACUGUUACUUAUGGUACUGACUCUAAUACUAAGCAAGAUAAAGAAGCUGAGGAUUCUUUGCAAAUCACGCUGAAAUCCGGAAAAGUAUUACCAGAAAGACAAGGACAUCCCCAAAAUCUUAAAGAUAAAGAAAUUCGGAUAAAUGAAGAGGCACCGACUUCAUCAAGUCAAGGGAGAUUAUCAAAGGCUGACUAUAACAUACUUUCCCAUUUAAGAAAAGUGCCUGCUUUGCUGAGUGUUUAUGACGCUCUGAUGAUGUCCAAAGAACUUCGGUGUAACACACUGGACCUUUGCAAAUUGCGAGGUUCGAGUGUUUGGAUGUAUUUCGAGCUUUUCCACACUUGGUGAAGGGUUGUAGAAUAUUUUCCGACCUAAAAAGUUCGAAAAUCGGGAUUCUGGAUAAGUCCUGAGAGUUUUUACUCUCGGGGACCGGUCCCUGGAAGGAGAGACCGGUCCCCCAGUGAGCAGUGUUGAGGCAGCCUGAGGCAACCGGUCCCUGGCAGGCGAGACCGGUCCCCGAGCGCAUCUUCGCAGUCAGAGACCGGUCCCGCCCAGGGAGAGACCGGUUCCCGAAUGCUGGUUUUUCGGGUUCGCAGCGAGAGACCGGUCCCUGCUGGGGAGAGACCGGUCCCUCUGGGCGAAAACUGCCCAGUUCGGACUGAUGCAAAUUUGAAUUUUUGAGGGGCCUCUCCGGAUUUUGUUACACUAGUUGGGCUUAUUAGCCAUUUCCUCCUCUUCCCUCUCUCAUUUUCUCAUUCUCACCCUCUCCCUACACUAUCUAGAGAGAGAAGAAGAAGAAGAAGGAGCAGAAGAAGAAGAGGAGCUAGCUUGAGGGAGCUUGGAGCUCAACCCCUUUCUCUCUUUUCCACCUUUGCAAGGCUUGGAGCUUGCUUAUAGAGCUUAGUGGUGGACCAAACUUCAACCCUAGGGCAUUUUGGGCUUGGAUUGAAGCUUCCAAAGGGUUAGUAUCAUGUUUCCCUCCUCUAGAUUCUUAUUUUAGUGAUUUUUGGGAGAUGAAACCUUAGAAAUGAGAUUUAGGGUUGAUUUUAGGGCUUUUUGAUCUAGGGCCUUUGAGGCUAGAUUAAUUGGUUUAGAACCUUCCUAGGGCUUGGAUUGGAAUGGUUCUAGCUCUCUUUUGGAGCUUUGGGAGAGAUUUCUACUCUUGAGAUUAGUUUUGGCCCUUUUUGCUUCUAGGUUAAUGUUUGAUAUUAUAAGAUGGUCGUAAUGCCCUCGUAUCUCUUCGCUGAUUACUUUUAGGGUAUUUUGAGACUCGGGGACAACUUUGUUCGGCGGAACGAGGCCCUACGCGACGGUUCGGUGGGUUUGACCUAGCCACACAAUGAGAAAUUCUCCUUUGUGCUUAAUUAAGUAUCGUUAAAUGAAAAAGCAUGCAUAUUCUUGUUAUAUGUAUUUAUUGUGAAUUUUAGAAUGCUUAAAAGGCCUAUGUUGUAUAUGAUGAAAUUUUGGACCUCUAUGGAGUAGAGAGUAGCUUGGUAGGCCUAUGGUUGCAUUUAGCGUUCUAUAUGAGACUUGAUUUCAUGCUUCUAUAGUGUACAUGAGUUUUGAUUCAUGCAU
rnacentral:lncRNA from 1 species